rnacentral:rRNA from 1 species
AGUGGCGGACGGGUGAGUAACGCGUGGAUAACCUACCUCAUACAGGGGGAUAACAGUUGGAAACGACUGUUAAUACCGCAUAAGCGCACGGGACUGCAUGGUUCUGUGUGAAAAACUCCGGUGGUAUGAGAUGGGUCCGCGUCUGAUUAGCUAGUUGGCAGGGUAACGGCCUACCAAGGCGACGAUCAGUAGCCGGCCUGAGAGGGUGUACGGCCACAUUGGGACUGAGACACGGCCCAAACUCCUACGGGAGGCAGCAG